GAAGCGUGCAGGCCGGGCCAGGGACCGUCCCUGCCCAGCGCCCGGGGGAUUUCCUGCUGCAGAGCCCGGCCACCGCCAUCUUCCCAUCUUCCCCCAAGAAGCAGCAUUUGCGCAUCUGGGAGUUCGAUCCGUGCUGAUGGGGCCGGGUCUAGUUCACUCGUAACCACCGUUGGGCCUCUUGUCGUGCGAACAACCAGUAUGGACACGUUUCCCCGGGCAGAGACCUUCUUUCCACGUGCCACUUUUGCUCUGACGAAUAAGCCUCUGGGAACAAGCAUCGUCGUGAGCGAGCGCAUGCCAUCGCUGGCAGGGAGCCACCCAGAGCGGAACCGUGCGGUCCUCGCGGGAGCUCGCGCCACCUCAGCCUCUGCAGGAGCUGCCAAAUUGCUCUCCAAAGUGGCUCCGACAAUUUACCGCCCGCUAGCGAUGGUGAGAGUUCCCGUCUCUCCACAUUCUCGCCAACGUUUCGUGUUAUCAGACGCAUCAGCAUUUGCCAGGUGAUGGGUGUGAAAUGGUGCAUCGUUAAGGCUUUAUUUUGCUUUUCCCCAAUUCUGGGUGUGGAUGAGCACCCCCCCCCAGCCCCCGCCGUGCCUUACUGACCUCUUGGGUCUCCUCGCCCGAGAGCUGCCUGGUUGCGCGCUGGCGUUCUCGUCCUCUGUCCAUUUUCCUCUUGGGUCGUUUGGUUUCUUCUGAUUUGUGUGUUUAUUGUAUUGUCACCACCGAGAUGCGAUACAAACAUUCUCUUGUGCUUUUUAAAAACGUUUUACAGUUUUGCAUUUCACAUAUAGGUCUUUACUCCAUCUGGAA